UGCAGGCCAGAAUGUCCAAGGAUACCUAUCAGACAGCAGGCAUUUAAUCUACAGUUGGAGAUUGAAAUCAGAAACUUGGAAACUUCCUCACAAG
rnacentral:sRNA from 1 species